UGGGGAAUUUUGGACAAUGGGCGAAAGCCUGAUCCAGCAAUGCCGCGUGUGUGAAGAAGGCCUUCGGGUUGUAAAGCACUUUUGUCCGGAAAGAAAUCCUUGGCUCUAAUACAGUCGGGGGAUGACGGUACCGGAAGAAUUAAGCACCGGCUAACUACGUGCCAGCAGCCGCGGUAAUACGUAGGGUGCAAGCGUUAAUCGGAAUUACUGGGCGUAAAGCGUGCGCAGGCGGUUUGCUAAGACCGAUGUGAAAUCCCCGGGCUCAACCUGGGAACUGCAUUUGGUGACUGGCAGGACUAGAGUAUGGCAGAGGAGGGUAGAAUUCCACGUGUAGCAGUGAAAUGCGUAGAGAUGUGGAGGAAUACCGAUGGCGAAGGCAGCCCCCUGGGCCAAUACUGACGCUCAUGCACGAAAGCGUGGGGAGCAAACAGGAUUAGAUACCCUGGGUAGUCCACGCCCUAAACGAUGUCAACUAGUUGUUGGGGAUUCAUUUUCCUUAGUAACGUAGCUAACGCGUGGAGUUGACCGCCAUGGGGGAGUACGGUCGCAAGAUUAAAACUCAAAGGAAUUGAC
rnacentral:rRNA from 1 species